CAUAAAUCAUUCACACCCUCAAGAAAAAGAAAAGAGAAAAAGAAGAAGAAAAGAAACACUAAUAUACAAAAAUGGCUUUAUCAUGCAAAAGUUUCUUGAUUGUGUUCUUGUGUGUGGCAGUUCUCUUACACCCAAAAACUGUGGAAGCCGACGAGUCACAGAGACAUGGAAUUCUCAUCAUUGGUUCUUGCUCAAAAAUUCAAGACUGUAAUAAAAAAUGCAUUGAAAUGCAUUAUGCAAGCGGGAAAUGUAUUAAAAAGACACCUGACGCCACUGAUUUAUCAUGUGGUUGCGAUCUUUAAUUAACAACGCUAUCAAGAUAUUGGAUUGUGAAAAUGUUAAGUCAAUUGAAAUAAAAAUAAUAAUAAAUAGAUUUUAAUCCGCGUUA